AUUCAAUAACCUUCGCUCAGGUUAAAGAAUGGAAUACUAGUCUUGCAUCAAAUAUAUAUUACAUAUCCAUUCGCUGUUUAUCACCAGAAGUUAGUUCUACCUUUGCAGUACCUCUGCUCUACAUACCUCCUCGCUGGUUAAAGAAUGGAAUAUAAAUCUCAUAUCAAGUUGGUGCAAAAAUUUAGUUCAAUAAAUUAAGAAUUUGUAAA